CCGGGCCCUGGUGGCGGAAGCUGAUCUUUGGCCCGUGAGGCCAGGUUGGUCCCGGCUGGGCUGUAGGCUGCGCUGGUCUAGGGACUGUCCUCUGGGAAGGUCAUCUCUGUGCCACAGGAAUGGAGGCAGAGCGUGUCAGGGUGGAGCCUUUCCACAGGGUCACCCCCCUGCUGGAGAGCUGGGCACUGUCUCGGGUGGCAGGCAUGCCCGUCUUCCUCAAAUAUGAGAAUGUGCAGCCAGCUGGCUCCUUUAAGAUCCGGGGCAUCGGACAUUUCUGUCAGCAGAUGGCCAUGAGAGGAUGCAGACAUCUGGUGUGCUCCUCAGGGGGCAAUGCAGGUAUUGCAGCCGCAUACUCAGCUCGGAAGCUGGGCAUCCCUGCCACCAUCGUGCUCCCAGAGACCACUUCCACGCAGGUGGUGAGGCGGCUGGAGGGGGAGGGGGCCGAGGUCCAGCUGACUGGGAAGCUCUGGCUGUCCUGGAUCUCACCAUGUACCCCGGGCUGGCCUCGAACUCACAGAGAGCCACUUGCUUCUGCCUCCCGAGUGCUGGGAGUAAAGGUCUGGGAUGAAGCCAACACACGGGCGCAAGAAUUGGCCAGGAGGGACGGCUGGGUGAAUGUCUCGCCGUUUGAUCAUCCCCUGAUAUGGGAAGGCCAUGCCAGCCUGGUGCGGGAGCUCAAAGAGUCGCUGGGGACCCCGCCGGGCGCCGUGGUGCUGUCUGUCGGGGGCGGAGGGCUCCUAGCCGGUGUGACUGAGGGCCUGCUGGAGGUAGGUUGGCGGCAUGUGCCCAUCGUUGCCAUGGAGACCCGAGGGGCACACAGUUUCAACGCGGCCUUGCAGGCAGGCAGGCUGGUCACUCUGCCAGACAUCACCAGUGUAGCCAGGAGCCUGGGAGCCAAGACUGUGGCGGCACGGACCUUGGAGUGUGCAAAGGAGUGUGAGAUCCUCUCUGAGGUGGUGGAAGACCGGGAGGCUGUGAGCGCUGUGCAGAGGUUCCUGGAUGACGAGCGGAUGCUGGUGGAGCCUGCCUGCGGGGCUGCCCUGGCCGCUGUAUACUCAGGCAUCCUGGGGAGGCUCCAGGCUGAGGGCCGCCUGAGGCUGGCCCAGGCUUCCAUUGUGGUCAUCGUGUGUGGUGGCAACAACAUCAGUAACCAACAGCUCCAGGAGCUGAAAACCCAGCUGGGCUGCAGCUGAGGGCUCCCGGGGAUCCCAGAGAGGCCCCUGGACACCAUCAUGGCCACCCAGGGGGCCUCAGCUCCCGCUGCCAUGCUUCAGCCUGCCGGUUACAGAGCUCAUCUCGGAGAAUCACAGCUCAGGGUAAAACUCAUUUCCCUGUGGCAUGUGGGCCGUGUGGCCUCAGACAGCACUAGGAGCCAAAGCCAAGCCUUACACAUUCUAGGCAAGCGUCCUACCACUGAGCCACAUCCACAGCUUGGAAAAGGGAUAUGUGGGCUCACAGUGGAUGGCUGACCUGCUCACAAAGGGAUCUGAAACAGCAGGCGUCCGCUGGGUCUCCAAUCAGGCCAAUUUUUGAGGACCCAGACCCAUGAGCAGUCUCCUAGCUUGGUUUUCUUGCCUGUGUCUUCCUCGGCCCUCUGGCUACAAAUCACAGCCGGGACUCUCCUCCUCUGGCCCCGUGGUCUAAACGGAGCCCUCUCCUAGGUCUCACCUGCCUCUCCCUUCUCCACUGUUUGUACUGUUUAAAUUCCACCAAAAAUGUCACGGGCGGGCUCCGCGCCCGGCUUCCAAAUUCCCUGAUAAAUCCAGCGGUUGGCAACCCCGGGAGAGGCUUUGUGCAGCAGGGAACCCCAUAAAUCACCCACUGCCACUCCGGCGUGGGCAAUAUCCUAUGUAAAAAGGUGUUUCCUGGGAGCGCCAUGGGCAGGAGAAUCCUAUUACAGGCCGCCCCAUUAAUUAUAGAGAGUCAAGCAGCCCCUUUCCUGCGAUUUUUUAUCUUAAGUCCGAA